rnacentral:rRNA from 1 species
GAUGAACGCUGGCGGCGCGCCUAACACAUGCAAGUCGAACGAUUAAAGCACCUUCGGGUGUGUAUAAAGUGGCGAACGGCUGAGUAACACGUGGGCAACCUGCCCCUUUCAUUGGGAUAGCCACGGGAAACCGUGGAUAAUACCGAAUACUUCGAGACUUCCGCAUGGAAGACUCGAGAAAGCUCCGGCGGAGAGGGAUGGGCCCGCGGCCUGUUAGCUUGUUGGUGGGGUAACGGCCUACCAAGGCAAUGAUGGGUAGCUGGGUUGAGAGACCGACCAGCCAGAUUGGGACUGAGACACGGCCCAGACUCCUACGGGGGGCAGCAGUGGGGAAUCUUGCACAAUGGGCGAAAGCCUGAUGCAGCGACGCCGCGUGCGGGAUGAAGGCCUUCGGGUUGUAAACCGCUUUCAGCAGGGACGAGGCGAAAGUGACGGUACCUGCAGAAGAAGCCCCGGCUAACUACGUG